rnacentral:rRNA from 1 species
UACGUAGGGAGCAAGCGUUGUCCGGAAUCAUUGGGCGUAAAGCGCGCGUAGGCGGCCCUGUAAGUCCGUUGUGAAAGUCAAAGGCUCAACCUUUGAAAGCCGAUGGAUACUGCAGGACUAGAGUCCGGAAGAGGAGAGUGGAAUUCCUGGUGUAGCGGUGAAAUGCGUAGAUAUCAGGAAGAACACCCGUGGCGAAGGUGGCUCUCUGGGACGGUACUGACGCUGAGACGCGAAAGCGUGGGGAGCGAACAGG